GACGAACGCUGGCGGCGUGCCUAAUACAUGCAAGUAGAACGCUGAAGAGAGGAGCUUGCUCUUCUUGGAUGAGUUGCGAACGGGUGAGUAACGCGUAGGUAACCUGCCUGGUAGCGGGGGAUAACUAUUGGAAACGAUAGCUAAUACCGCAUGAUAUUAAUUAUCGCAUGAUAAUUGAUUGAAAGAUGCAAUUGCAUCACUACCAGAUGGACCUGCGUUGUAUUAGCUAGUUGGUGAGGUAACGGCUCACCAAGGCGACGAUACAUAGCCGACCUGAGAGGGUGAUCGGCCACACUGGGACUGAGACACGGCCCAGACUCCUACGGGAGGCAGCAGUAGGGAAUCUUCGGCAAUGGGGGGAACCCUGACCGAGCAACGCCGCGUGAGUGAAGAAGGUUUUCGGAUCGUAAAAGCUCUGUUGUAAAGAGAAAGAAACGGGUGUG
rnacentral:rRNA from 1 species